rnacentral:rRNA from 1 species
AGAGUUUGAUCAUGGCUCAGAUUGAACGCUGGCGGCAGGCUUAACACAUGCAAGUCGAGCGGAAACGAGAAUAGCUUGCUAUUCGGCGUCGAGCGGCGGACGGGUGAGUAAUGCUUGGGAAUAUGCCUUUGAGUGGGGGACAACAGUUGGAAACGACUGCUAAUACCGCAUAACGUCUACGGACCAAAGGGGGGGAUCUUCGGACCUCUCGCUCAUUGAUUAGCCCAAGUGAGAUUAGCUAGUUGGUAAGGUAAUGGCUUACCAAGGCGACGAUCUCUAGCUGGUUUGAGAGGAUGAUCAGCCACACUGGGACUGAGACACGGCCCAGACUCCUACGGGAGGCAGCAGUGGGGAAUAUUGCACAAUGGGCGAAAGCCUGAUGCAGCCAUGCCGCGUGUGUGAAGAAGGCCUUCGGGUUGUAAAGCACUUUCAGCGAGGAGGAAAGGGUGUUGUUUAAUACGCAACAUCUGUGACGUUACUCGCAGAAGAAGCACCGGCUAACUUCGUGCCAGCAGCCGCGGUAAUACGAGGGGUGCAAGCGUUAAUCGGAAUUACUGGGCGUAAAGCGUGCGUAGGUGGUUUGUUAAGCAAGAUGUGAAAGCCCCGGGCUCAACCUGGGAACUGCAUUUUGAACUGGCAAACUAGAGUAUUGUAGAGGGUAGUGGAAUUUCCAGUGUAGCGGUGAAAUGCGUAGAGAUUGGAAGGAACAUCAGUGGCGAAAGGCGGCUACCUGGACAAAUACUGACACUGAGGCACGAAAGCGUGGGGAGCAAACAGGAUUAGAUACC